ACACGACUACAUUAGAUACCCGGGUAGUCCUAGCCGUAAACGAUACUCGCUAGGUGUCGGCCACGGUGCGACCGUUGUCGGUGCCGUAGGGAAGCCGUGAAGCGAGCCACCUGGGAAGUACGGCCGCAAGGCUGAAACUUAAGGAAUUGGCGGGGAGCACAACAACGGGUGGAGCUUGCGGUUUAAUUGGAUUCAACGCCGGAAAUCGUUACCGGGACCGACAGCAACAUGAAGGCCAAGCUGAAGACUUUGCCGGAUUAGCUG
rnacentral:rRNA from 1 species